GAUGUGGGAAGCUCCAUCUUCACAGCCGAGGACACCACCCUCUGGGAUUCAUGCACUGCUGACUGAAAAGGAGAAAGUCAUCUGAGCACAAGAACUCAUCAUUCGUUGCUUCCAGCCUUCCAGCCUUCUCCUCUUGCCGCUGGGCCUCCCCUGCCUGUCACCUUGCCUCCUCCCCAGUCCUUAAGCCAGAAUCAAUCUUACCUCCCUUAACCUACCCCUUGUCCAGUAUUUGGUCACAGUCCUGAAAGAACAGAAACCAGGAGAUUUUCCUGUAGCUAAUUUCCUGCAACAACAAGAGAAAGAGAAAGAGAAGUAGCUUAUGACUAAAUGUGAAGAUGUGGCUUCUCCCUCUCCCUGGAUCCAAUCACUUAUUGAAUUAACACCAAGGAUCUCUUUCCAGAUGGGAGGACAAUCCUAGUAACAAAAUAAAAUAUGUCAGUGCCACUCA
ensembl:lincRNA Gm29414 predicted gene 29414